UAUGAUUAAUCAAGACUAAGUUGUGUUUAAUUAAGCUAAUGAGUAAAUAUGCAUUAAGUUAAUUCUAUUUAUGAUUCAAUUAUAGAAUUGUCUAGAAAGUGCUAGUGCGUAUACGUGUUCUACUGCCAAAGAGGUGCAUGUGUGUGUAUAACUAAUGAGUUCAAAAGUGUUUGGGUUAGCAUUUAUUUGAUAUGUGCUUAGAGAACUCUAGAGGCAGAGAGAACCGAGAGAGAGAGAGAGAGAGAGCUCAACUCUUUGUGAACAAGAACCCAUGUUGCUGGAAUUUUGAAGCUAGCUCAAGAGAUGGACUAAAGGAAAAAGAGAGGAAGCAAGAGGAAGUGAAAAAUUAGGAAGAAGGCUCAAGAAUUCAACAACAUUAGGUUAGACGCCGCACUGUGAUCACAUGUUUCAAGGAGCCAACUGUGAUCAAGUGCAAGAGUGGACUUAAUGGGCGUCAACCUAAACUUUGUUUUGUCAAGCCAACUUUUGUGCCUCACUUUGAGGUCUUUACUAAGACAAGCUUCAAGGCUUCAUGGGUGGUUUAGAGUUCACCCUUUUGUUUUGAACGUUACUGAGACUAGUUCUGAAUGUUAUCAUAUCUGAAGUUAAGACUGGUUUUGUUAAUGGGAUUUAAUCCCUAAUUAUGUUGUGUUUUUGUACAUAAGCUUGAUGCUUGGACUGAUGUGUAUAUACAUAUAUGAAAGUUGUUUUGUUACAUUUAA